UCGAGUCUAGCGAUGCUAAAUUCGCAAAAAAAAAAUAUAUUUUUGUUAAUCCGAUAUUACUAAUUAGUGAAGAACUAACCUAAUUCUAGGGACAGGUUGCUAUUUAGUGUUAAAGAAGUGUUAAAGGAUUCUAACAAACUACGCCAAUAAUUCUAAAAGGUAUGUUUUUUACCAAUCAAAUUUUAGUUUUUUAACGAUAUAAAUUAAAUGUCAAAGCCUAGUGAUUAUGCUAAGUUUAAAAUCUAAAAGGUAGAAAGGAAACAAUUAAAUUUGCUAAAAUAUAAGAAUUCAAACUAAUUCAAAUAAGAACAUAUAAAACACAAAUUUUAAAUAAUAAUAUGUGAAAGGUAAACAAAAGUAAUAAUAAAUGUCUACUAAAGAAGAAUAAGGCUUGAAAAGAGGAAAAAAGGCACUAAAUUGCUAUAUGAAAGCACAUGAUGCAUCUAUUGUCGCUUCUCUUAUUUGGACAGAGAUGGAGUCAACCCACGAGACUCCAAAUGCUCUCCCGAGUUCACAUGAGACAGAAAAAGAUAAGGAUUAGAUACAUACUCGAUCUCAUGAGAGAUGCAAAGUGAAUUAGGUGAUAAAACACAUUAAUGUUUUGCAAUUACGUAGAGAAAAAUAAUCAACAAGGAAAAUAGUAAGUACAUUUAUUCAUAAAUAUUAGGCAUAAGCCAAGUAUUACUCAAAAAAAAAGAAAAAAAGGGAAAAAAAGAACGCUUUAAGCAAGUUGUCUAUAAUUGUUAAUAGUCAUGUGGAGUUUUCAUUUGGGGUUGAUGCUAGGUACACCACCCCAUAUGUUAAAAAAAAUACAAAGCAUUACCGUUCUACCUACCAAAUUCACAAGUAGAGCAUCACAUUAUCAAAAUCAAGCAAAACAAACACCAUUUCUGUUCGUGGGAAAGCUGCUAGCAAAGUUGACCCAAAAAAGGGAAGGAUUUUGCACAUUGUAACUUCAAAUUAUUUUUACUAGAACUCCAUCUUGAAGAUGACAAACUCUAGCUGAAGUAAAAAGUUUAACAUUUCAGUCCAUGGCAAAAAGGACUUAACUUUAAAAUUGAUCAAAUGAGACGCCAAUAUGGAAAGAAGGGCUUAGAUAAACUAAUAUGAUGCAAAUAAUAGCAGAAAAUUACAAAUCCAAAUUAGGACAAAUUUCUAAUUCUAAUGCUCAUUAUUUACCCUCAAUAACAAAUAACAACAAGAAGACAAUUCAAAUCAUAUAAACCUCAUAUCACAGGAAAUAACACAAAAACGGAGGAGCAAAAAUUUCACAAGAAACAAAAGAAUAUAGAGAUUAAGAACCGAUUUAAUGAUACAAUAACAAAAGAUACAAAACAGAUGGCACGCUCCAAACAAGAAUAUAAAAGAUUUGGUUAAAUGUUUCCCUCACACAUAAGAAUUUUUAACUAUUUUAAUGUACUUAUAUUACACAUCUGGGCAACUUACCGAAAUCAAUUACCGUAAUAAGACAUCACUGGCAUGAAAAACAUUCAAAAGUGAUAUAAAUGCUCAAGUUCAAACACACCUAUUCUUAUAGAAAAUGGGUAACCGAAGAAUAUAUUCUUGAAAUCAAAAUUUUGUUUCAUGUAUGACACUAUACUGUCCCUUCUUUAAUGAAUACUUAACACAAAAUUAAAACUAAUAUUUGCCUAUUAGGCUAAAAAAAAAGUCCGUGACAGACAUAGAAGGCAUGUGAAUUUCAAAUAUUUUACAAUAACUAGUUUCUAUUUUAAAAAAAAAAAUCCUCUAAUAUAAUUAUAGAUGGAACUGGCACAUUUGUUCAAAAUCACACGAAAUAAAUAAUUUGCGAGUUUGAAGCAAAGAGCCAAUCAGAAUCUGCUUUUUCGUUAAACUUUCACAUGUUAUUUGUCACAUAUGUCACCAAUUUUUACAAAUAACAGCUGCACACAGUAACUUACAAGGCGAGAUGAAACAGUAAUGAACAAGAAAAGGCGGGAUGAUUCACGCAUAAUCUUAGGACUAGAAUAACUCGGGUAUUCACAAAAUCAUACCAGACGAAGGAGAAAGAGGUGCAAGCACAUCAUUUCUACUUAGAACUAUUUUACCAGAAGCAUGGAAUUGAAGCCUUUUUAUAUGAAAAAUGGUGGUAAAUACUACUGUUAAGAGGAAAAAAAAAAAACAUCCAUUGAAUUUUCUUUAGAUCUUAGUACAUUUGAAUGGUUAUCAUGCCCAAUAUAUAUGCUUUAAAAGCUAAGGCAGUAGAUAAUUCAAACCGAAUUUAUUUUAUCAAGAGCGACACUGACUUUCAAAAAUAAACACACAACUACAACCAUUUGAAUACAAGAGCACUCCACAUAUGACUAGAUAUUAUGCAACCUCUCUUCAUACCAUAGACAGUAAUAAAAUCGCUUCAGACGACAUAAAUAAGUGCAAGCAGAUAACUAACAAACAUGGAUGGAAAAACAUAGACUUUCAUAAUCAUCUGGUAAAGUAACUCCUUAGUUCUGCAACCAUUCGAGGCAAGAAACGAGUCUAAAAAGUAAAAAAAUGUCCAGAUAGAAACGAAAUCAUAUUUGAAUUAUUUAAAUGAUUUUAUAUGUAUGAACACGUCAUGAAUGCCAAAAAAUAAUAUAUGAGCUAUUUUAGGAAUCUAAGAAAAAAAGGAAGAAAGACUCGACCAAUGUAGGUUUGCGAACAUAACAAAACCUCAAUUCGAUCAUAUCAAGUAAGCAAAGAGAGAGAUCAAAAUAACUAAUUCAGGCCAACUAUAGUAAUACAACUUCUAUGCUCUUGAACUACAUCGCAUUCAGACAGUCAAAUCGAACUUCAUUUUUCCUUUUGUAUCAAACUUGGGAUUCUAUACUAACUCUAACAAACAAGACAGAGAGAGACAAACCCUUGAAAAACUUAGCUUUGUUUCACGUGAAGCAGAAAUCUAAGCAAAAAUAAUACCAUGGAGAAUUCUUAACAAGUCACCUUCUGCAUUUUAUGUAAAAAGUGCUAAUAUAAAUCACAAGGUUGAUUAUAUAUACCUUAUAGAAACUUAACAGAAUAAUAUACGGACCACCUAACAGGAAAUCAUAACUGGAAACACGUGGGAAAACAAAAAGAAGUAUGAACCAAAAAGAUACAAAACAUACAAUAUAAACUAAAAUGAACGAGGGCUAGUUUUGUCUCAUGCUUUAUGCCCAAAAUCGACUAGUUAACAUUCCAACUAGAACACGAUAAACGAUUUUGUUCCAAGUUUGCAUUCAUAACCAGCCAACAAAACGAUCAACUCCAAUUCAUUUCAUAUUUAUGUUCACAAUUAGCCAAACGAGAAAAACAAACACAAACAAUCAGAAAAUUAUCAAAAACCAAACGCAAUGUAAUUAGACAGGAUAGGAUUUACUGUUACAGGUGUUCACGAAACCACCUCCGACAUAUCAAAACCUAAGAAAAUAAAAGAAAUUCGAAAAUAGGAACGACAAACAGUUAUACGCACAUGUCCACAGAACCACAUAUUCACAUACAAAAUAACUUUUGAAAUUAAAAUUAUAUUUUUGUCCACAAGACCAAAAACAACAACAACAACAACAAAAACUCGAAAUCAAGGUGUCCCAUUGAUAGGUGGUCUACGGCUGACCCUCUGGCCAAAGAAAUUUAGAAAAGAGAUGAAGAAGAAGUAACAAGAGAGAUUGGGGCAAUUUUCUCCUCCCUUUCUGAAAGCUAACAUUACAAUUUAAAGGAAAAAUGUAAACUACUUCUAAUAAAAUAACUGCAAAUGAAACGUGGCCUAAUAACCGUAAAUGGAAACGUGGGCAUCCCCAUUAUCUCCUUUAUUUCCGCACAACUACUUCUAAGACUAUUUCAAAGAAAGAGCACAACUACUUCUAAGACUAUUUUAAAGAAAGAAAUCCACCACCCAUUAGUUAGCAUCAUAACAAUCCACCCCACUUGAAAUCACCUUGUCCUCAAGGUGAAACUGAGGGUAAGUACGGGAAAAACGCCAUUUAUCUUCCCAUGUUGCAUCUUCCCUUGAUUGACCAACCCAUUUAACCAAAAUCUCUGUUUUUGGCCUAUAUUUCCCUUUCUGAACGACUCGUUCUUCCAAGAUACCCUCUGGUUGAGGUGCCACCUGUAACUGGACAGGUUCGUUGACAGGAGGUGGGAUCGGUUCCGGGACAGGGCCUUCUCUUUUCCGUAACAAACUCACAUGAAACACAUCGUGAAUUAAGGAACCAGGAGGUAAUUCAAUCCGAUAUGCAACCUUUCCUACCUUAGCAAGAAUUUUGUAAGGGCCAAAAAAACGCGGACUUAACUUAGCUGAUGUUCGGGAGACCACACUUGACUGUCUAUAUGGCUGUAGUUUAACAUAAACAUGAUCCCCUACCUCAAAUUCCAAUUCACGACGGCGUUGGUCCGCAAAAUGCUUCAUACGGUCUUGAGCUUUGAAGAGGUUGGCUCGUAAGGUUUUCAGCAUCCGAUCACGGUCUUGAAGGUAGUCUUCGACAGCUUGAACCUUAGUCGUUCCUGGAACAUACGGCAAGAUUUUUGGAGGCAGCCGUCCAUAAACAACCUGAAAAGGAAUCAGCUUGGUGGAAGUGUGAACUGAAGUAUUAUAGCUAUAUUCCGCCCACGGUAGCCAAUCCACCCAUUUUUUUGGCUUGUCACAAACAAAACAACGCAAGUAUUGUUCCAGAAUCCGAUUGACAACUUCUGUUUGUCCAUCCGUCUGCGGAUGAUAGCUAGAACUCAUGCAUAAAACCGACCCUUGCAGCUUGAAUAGAGCUUGCCAAAAGGAACUUAUGAAAAUUUUAUCACGAUCACUUACAAUGGUUGAAGGGAUACCAUGCAAGCGGACAACGUUGGCUACAAAAUCCCGAGCUACACUUGAAGCAGUAAAUGGGUGCCGCAUAGGAACAAAGUGGGCAUAUUUUGAGAGUCGAUCUACAAUCACCAUUAUCACUGUAAACCCGUUAGACGCAGGUAAUCCUUCCACGAAAUCCAUGCUAAUGUCCUCCCAAAUUCUGUCUGGAACCGGAAGUGGCUGCAACAACCCAGCAGGCUGCAUGGUGUCCGUCUUGGCUCGUUGACACUCAUGACAUUCCCGGAUAUAUCUUUUCACAAAAUCUUUCAUACCCAACCACCAAAAAUUGUGCUUCACCUUAGCAAGAGUUUUAUGAAAACCAAAAUGGCCUCCUUCGGGAGAGGAGUGACACAUAACCAGCACAGUGGAUAGAAGAGGAGAAUUGGAGCUUAACAAUAUAGCAUCAUUUCUAAACCAAACUCCAUCAUGCUUCACAAGGUUACCUUUAAAUUUAAUAGGCAAGGAUGAAGGUAAAUUCAAAUAAAAAGGGUCUGUGUGUACCUCUUCUUGAAUGGUGGUCCAAAUGGUGGAACAAGGAUGUGAAACAUUUAGAUAAUGAAACUCGGGCGUACGAGAGAGGGCAUCUGCGCCUUGGUUCAAACUUCCCUUCUUAUAUUCAAUUUUGUAGUCAAAUCCCAAAAGCUUGGGUAGCCAUCGGGACUGAACUGGGGUAGUGAUUCGUUGCUCCAUUAAAUACUUGAGACUGACAUGGUCUGUUUUCACCACAAAAGGUCGCCCCAGUAAAUAGUGUCGCCAUUUCCGAACUGCCUUUACAAUAGCUAACAUCUCCUUCUCAUAUGUAGACCAAGAUAACAUGAUUCCCUUUAAAGGAGCACUGAAAUAAGCCAAGGGUCUUCCACGUUGAGUGAGAAUAGCUCCUAUACCCACCCCACUCGCAUCACACUCCACAGUAAAUGGGUGAGACCAAUCGGGCAAAGCCAAAGUAGGAGGGGUUGUCAGGGCAAUCUUCAACUCCUGGAAAGCCACUUCUGCCUUUUCAUUCCAAAUAAAAGGGCCUUUGCCAACUAGUUUAUGCAAGGGGGCAGCAAUACUUCCAAAUCCCUUGAUAAACUUUCGAUAAUAACCCGCCAACCCCAAGAAACCGCGUACCCCUUUUGCGUUAGUUGGAGUAGGCCAUGAAAGUACAGCCUUAACUUUAUUUUCUUCAACCGCCACACCUCCCGAUGAUAUGACAUGCCCCAAAUAAUUAACUUGAGAAACUCCAAAACAACAUUUUGAGAGCUUGGCAAAAAGUUGAUUAGUAUUUAAUAAUCCCAAAGCAGUACGUAAAUGCCCAAGAUGAUCAUUCAAGGUCUUUGAAUAAAUAAGAAUAUCAUCAAAGAAUACCAAUAUAAACUUACGCAGGUAUGGCCUGAAAAUGUCAUUCAUUAAGCAUUGAAAGGUGGCUGGAGCAUUGGUGAGGCCAAAAGGCAUAACAACGAACUCAUAAUGUCCGUCAUGCGUUCGGAAUGCUGUCUUUGGAAUAUCAGUUUCCCGAACCCGUAUUUGGUGAUAACCAGCACGAAGGUCAAGCUUAGAAAAGAUCGUAGCACCAUAUAGUUCAUCGAGUAGCUCGUCUAUUACUGGAAUUGGGUACUUGUCCUUCACAGUGAUGUCAUUGAGAGCCCUAUAGUCCACGCAAAAACGCCAAGUGCUGUCAGAUUUCUUCACUAACAAGACCGGCGAUGAGAACGGGCUAUGGCUGGGGCGAAUUAACCCAUCACGCAGUAACCCCCUAACUUGUUUUUCAAUUUCCGUCUUUUGCAAAUAAGGUUGGCGAUAUGGCCGAGAGCUCACUGGUUUGGCUCCGGGAAUUAAGGGUAUGUCAUGGUCAUGGAAACGCCUUGGGGGCAAUUCUUUUGGCUCUUGAAAGACCUGCUCAUAUUCAGUUAAAACAUGUUGAACGGCUGGACAAGGACUUGAGGUAGAAGAAAGCUCCGAUUCGACCCGAUUAACCUGGAGAAGUAAGGCAAUACCCUGUAUUCCCAUCAACUCGUUAGCCUUUAAAGCAGUCAAAUCCGACCCCCGCAACCCUUGUAACUUAUGUGUUGAACCAGCCUGAUGGAAUCCAAGAGUGAGAUUCUGGAAGUCGAUUUCAAUAGGCCCCAAAGUCUUCAACCACUGAACGCCUAAGACAAUAGGACAAGCUGCGAUUGGCAGAACAAAAAAAUCGGUGGUUAUAGUGUAACCUUGAAUAAUGAUUGUAAGUCCGCGCACUCGUCCCACACAAGCUAACUUGUCACGGUUUGCGACGACCACUUCCAAUUUGACCCCAUUAUCCACCGUCAAUCCGAACCGCUCCACUAACGAUUGCUCGAUGAAAUUGUGGGUACUACCACCAUCAAUUAAGACCACCAAAUCUUUGUUAUGAAUUUUUCCAGGCAACCUUAAGGUUUGGGGAAGGAUGGUGCCGGUAAUUGCGUGGAAAGAAAUCUCAGCGGAAACCUCAUCAGGAGGGUUCUCAUUGGCUUCAUCCUCAUGGCUGCUGCUCUCUUCAACGUCAUCGACUUCACUGAUCAUGAAUAAUUGGGGCUUGGUGCACUUAUGACCCGGAAUGUAGCGUUCAUCACAGUAGUAACACAACCCCUUUUCCCGACGUUCUUUAGCCUCUGCUCCUGAUAAACGGCGAACUGGACUUGGGGCAGGUAAAGCUAGGCGUUGAGAUGGUGCUGGGCCUAAAAUUCCAGCAGAGUGUGGGCGUAAAAAGUGCUAAUAUAAAUCACAAGGUUGAUUAUAUAUACCUUAUAGAAACUUAACAGAAUAAUAUACGGACCACCUAACAGGAAAUCAUAACUGGAAACACGUGGGAAAACAAAAAGAAGUAUGAACCAAAAAGAUACAAAACAUACAAUAUAAACUAAAAUGAACGAGGGCUAGUUUUGUCUCAUGCUUUAUGCCCAAAAUCGACUAGUUAACAUUCCAACUAGAACACGAUAAACGAUUUUGUUCCAAGUUUGCAUUCAUAACCAGCCAACAAAACGAUCAACUCCAAUUCAUUUCAUAUUUAUGUUCACAAUUAGCCAAACGAGAAAAACAAACACAAACAAUCAGAAAAUUAUCAAAAACCAAACGCAAUGUAAUUAGACAGGAUAGGAUUUACUGUUACAGGUGUUCACGAAACCACCUCCGACAUAUCAAAACCUAAGAAAAUAAAAGAAAUUCGAAAAUAGGAACGACAAACAGUUAUACGCACAUGUCCACAGAACCACAUAUUCACAUACAAAAUAACUUUUGAAAUUAAAAUUAUAUUUUUGUCCACAAGACCAAAAACAACAACAACAACAACAAAAACUCGAAAUCAAGGUGUCCCAU
rnacentral:lncRNA from 1 species